UACAGAGGGUGCAAGCGUUAAUCGGAUUUACUGGGCGUAAAGCGUGCGUAGGCGGUUCAGUAUGUCGGUCGUGAAAUCCCCGGGCUUAACCUGGGAACUGCGGCCGAAACUGCUGAGCUUGAGUGUGGUAGAGGAAGGUGGAAUUCCAGGUGUAGCGGUGAAAUGCGUAGAUAUCUGGAGGAACACCGAUGGCGAAGGCAGCCUUCUGGGCCACAACUGACGCUGAGGUACGAAAGCGUGGGUAGCAAACAGGG
rnacentral:rRNA from 1 species